GAGGCGAAAGAUUCAUCGCCGGAGGAUUGGCCCGCGUUCGAUUAGCUAGUUGGUGAGGUAACGGCUCACCAAGGCGACGAUCGAUAGCUGGUCUGAGAGGAUGAUCAGCCACAUUGGGACUGAGACACGGCCCAAACUCCUACGGGAGGCAGCAGUGGGGAAUAUUGGACAAUGGGCGCAAGCCUGAUCCAGCCAUGCCGCGUGAGUGAUGACGGCCUUAGGGUUGUAAAGCUCUUUCGCUAGGGACGAUAAUGACGGUACCUAGACAAGAAGCCCCGGCUAACUUCGUGCCAGCAGCCGCGGUAAUACGAAGGGGGCUAGCGUUGUUCGGAAUUACUGGGCGUAAAGCGCGUGUAGGCGGGCUUUUAAGUCAGGGGUGAAAUGCCAAGGCUCAACCUUGGAACUGCCUUUGAUACUGGAAGUCUUGAGUCCGGGAGAGGUGAGUGGAACUGCGAGUGUAGAGGUGAAAUUCGUAGAUAUUCGCAAGAACACCAGUGGCGAAGGCGGCUCACUGGCCCGGAACUGACGCUGAGACGCGAAAGCGUGGGGAGCAAACAGGAUUAGAUACCCUGGUAGUCCACGCUGUAAACGAUGGAUGCUAGCCGUUGGGGAGCUUGCUCUUCAGUGGCGCAGCUAACGCUUUAAGCAUCCCGCCUGGGGAGUACGGUCGCAAGAUUAAAACUCAAAGGAAUGA
rnacentral:rRNA from 1 species